CCCCUCAAGUCUGUGCAUCUGUCCUUUUUAAAAAAUGCUAUGCUAUGCCCUGUAAGUAGACAUCUGUCUGCUUGGAGGGACCUCAGGAUGGCUACAUGGAAUCUGGCCAGCCCCGGAACAGGUAUGGCACCUGUACAAACCUGAAACCUUUUACUCUCAUCUUCUGUCUUUGGGUGCCAUUCCAUAAGCUGCAGGGCCCCUAGGGAGGGCGGGAGUCAACAGGACGCGUGGCCAGAACUUGGCCAGAGACAACAGCCACGGUGGGCCGGAACGGCAGAGCAGAACUGCCCAUGCCGACGGUUUAUGAAGUGGGGAAACAGUACCCAGAGCCGGAGUAUCCGGGAAGACCCCUUCCAAUGUCCCAUCAUGAGGCCUCUCCGACAGCUCUGCGACGGGCCAGCAACCACCGACGCACCAACCCCUGCUGUUUUUGCUGGUGCUGCUGCUGCAGUUGCUCAUGGAACGAAGAUCGCGAGCGGGCAUGGAGGGCAUCCCGAGACACCAAACUGGAGGCCAUCUCAAACUGUGAAGCCUGUGCCAAACCAACCACCGAGGAAGUCAAGGGCUGGUCCCAGUCGUUCGACAAGUUGAUGAAAAACCCAGCCGGCAGGAAUGUGUUCCGGGAGUUCUUACGGACUGAGUACAGCGAGGAGAACAUGCUCUUUUGGCUGGCUUGUGAGGAACUCAAAGGCGAGUGCAAUAAGCACGCUAUCGAGGAGAAGGCACGGAUAAUCUACGAAGAUUACAUCUCCAUCCUUUCGCCCAAGGAGGUCAGCCUGGACUCCCGUGUGCGCGAAGGCAUCAACCGCAAGAUGCAAGAGCCGUCCUUACACACCUUUGACGACGCACAGCUACAGAUCUACACACUCAUGCAUAGAGACUCCUACCCCCGUUUUCUGAACUCUGCCAUAUAUAAAGCAUUGCUCCAGAGCGUCUCUCGGUCGUCCUCAGAGUCCUAAGCCCCUUCCACCAUCAUCACCACCACCACCACCGGGAGAAGGAAAACAUGAAGUGAUGGGUCUCCUUUCAUACAUAUAGCAGGUGUCAAUUUUUUUUAAAAAAAAAAAUAUGGACCUCCCACUUGGUCUUAGGGAACCAAGAGACCUAAAAUGGCAUUCCGGAUGCCCCAGUUCCCAUCGUCCACCUGACUACAGGCUGAUUGUUCUCUUACUGGAAAGUUCACGCCGUGCAGUCCUGCCCUGACUUCUUUUGCCAGAAAGGUGGGCUAUGGCACCUGCUGUCAUGUGAACCUCAAAACUCAGGCCUCGGCUUUUACUACUGAAUCCGCGUUGGCAAGCGAGCCCCUGGCUAACCACACAGAAGAACUAAAGGAUGGGAAGAAGGAGCCAAUUGGGGUGUGUGGGGAGGGGGGCAGGGAGGAUCCUGGGCAACGUGGCAAAAGAAAAAAGCCAAAGUCCACAUUUUCUGAACAUUAUUUUCUUUGUGGUCUGUCUAUUUUUUUUCCUGUUUUUUUUUUUUAAAAAAAAAGCUGUUUCCUUGGCAGUCGUGUAGAAAGAGAGAAAAUAUCUCAAACGGUUCAGGUGGAAUCUUCAGCCAGACGAACAUGUCGGGUAGCGUAGCAUAAGAAGAGUCUGAGUUGCGCAAAAGUGUUUGGAAGGGGCUUCUUGGUCAGACAGAGAAGAGUUCUGAGCAAGUCAAAGGCUUUCUUUGGUUCCAGGUUGCGUUUAUUCUGGCUGGGGCCUGAUCUCAGGCAUGCUUUUCUCAUCACAGUGAUGAGGGAAAAACUCCACAAGGCUUGGCCUCAGAGCUCUAUAUAAAGAUAUAGGUAGAGUUGUUGUUGUGUUCCACUGAAAGCAGACCUCCCCAGUGGAAUCAUGGUUUUGUCCUCCGCGGAAGCAACCUGGAAGUAAAUGCCACACUUCCUGAAAUCCCAGAAUGUACAGAAGGCUUUUCCUACAUUGUAAACCAGAUUCCGGCUGCACAGAGGAAUCCCUGUGCUGCCAUAGCAACAUUACGUGCCUGUACUACAAAGAUUCAGGAGACCUUCCAUGGCGGUUAGAAGCUUGUUGAGUCUGUCAGAUCCUGGUAAGUUGAGCCCUGGGUGUGAGGCUCUGUAAUUGAGAAUUGAUUUUGGAAGUUAAUGGGGAUGGUUCACAGGUAGAAAAUGGGGGCCCACCUACAUGAGGUGAACCUGCUAGAUCAGGCCAGUGGCCCAUUUAGUACGGUGCUCUGUCCUCAGUGGCCAACCAGAUGCCUAUGGGAAGCCUCCAGGCAGGACCAGAACGCAAGAGCGCUCUCCCCUCCUGCAAUUUCAAGCAACUGGUAUUCAGAAGCAUGCUUCCUCUGACUGCAGGCAGAGCAUUGCCAUCAUAGCUGCUAGUCACUUAUCCUCCAUGAAUGUGUCUAAUCCUCUUUUGAAGCCAUCCACAUUGGAGCAGAAGCCCUAUCCUUUCAGCAAUACGGUCACUCUAUCAGGGCUGCAACAGUGAUAGGACGGGGCCUUGUCUCUGCACGGGCCCUGUAGUCACCACUAGGCAGCAAAAUGAAAGCCGUUGCCUUCAUGCCUUGCUUGUGAGCUUCUUGAAACCGUCUGCUUGGCUAUGGUGGGAAGCAGAAUGCUAGGCUAAACAGACCUUUGCUCUGAUCCAGCUGGCCUCUUCUCAUGUUAGUUGCUGGACCAGAAAGGAGUGACUCAGUGAUGCCUGUCAGAGGGGGGAAAAGAGCUAUUCCUCCUCUCCAGCAACCCACAGCAGAAACAGACUGAGCAAUGAAGAUGCUAUGGGAUAUGGGAGGUGAUGUCCCUGCCUCAGAGCCUGGAAUGCUGGGCAACACCCUUUCAGGCAAGCCUAGAGGUCUCUCUCACAUACACACACACGCACAGGAAUUUGGUUCCUUUGAGAGCUCUGAAGGAAGGGAGGAGUUCCACCAAAUACAGUCUCUCCUGCCAUACCGUUGCAGUAAUAAGCUAUCUUCUCAAAAAGUGAUGGAAGUCCAGCCUUAGACGGAAUGUAACAACUGCCCUUUUCUGCCCACACAGUUGCUCAAAGCGAAGCCCUCUCCUGAACCGUGUCGGGUCCCAUUGACCGCCUGGGCCAAUGUCACUUUGCAAACUCUUCCUCACUUCAUAUAAUGGGCCUGGUUUUGUGUCAUCUCCCAUCAAAGAUGUGCCAUCAUUAUUUUCUCUCACUUUUUUUUUGAGUUGAAUUUUUGUUUUAUUCUGGGUGUCGAAAUUGUAGCAGACAACAAUAAGGGAUAAGGGUUCGGGUAUGCAUUCCCCUGUUAAAGUCAGAAGGAGCCCUCAAUUGCAGCCAGUUUGUUGCCAUCUUUUCCUAAAAGGGGGAGUGUGUUGAAAUCUGUUUUCCUUGAGUCACUGGUUGCAAGAACUUUGGGCCUGGUCUGUUCCCUCCCCACUUCUGCUGCCACUGCCACCACCCGAAUGUUGGACAGCUAGUUCUGUAGCCAGUAAGAGACAAUCUUCUCCUCCACUGUCUUUCAUUUGCAGUUCUUUUGUUUCUGCCUGGUAACACGUGCAGCUCAAGCAACUGGCCUUGGGGAGCCUUAAAAGGAGCUACAGGGUUUCGUUCCUUUCUCCCUCUUCACACAAUAAUUGGAUUAGAUGGCAUGCAUCCACAUGGCAGGCUUCAAAAAAAAGUUCACGGUAUCUGCAAAGCUCUCCAACACCACAUUUCAAAUGAGUUGAUUUUUUUCAUCCUUUUUUUUAGUUAGAAUUCACAUUUCCUGAUUCAGACUGGACGGAUCAAUGCUGACUCACACACAUCAAACACAUUCUCCAAGUGCCAGUCCUUACGUAUUGGCAUACUUAAAGAGCACAGAGGUUUACACAACUAAAUAUUUUUUAAAAAAAAUCUUAAGGGGCCCAAAACACCAAAAAUAGCUCAAUGAGGCCUGAGCAUGCUCAGCGAGAAUGGAAUGCUAUCUGUUGCAGGGUGGGGAACUGAAAACAGAGUGAAUGCAGUAGAAGAUCCUGGAAGAACAUGUGGCUGAUUAGAUGGAACACUGAACAGGAUCUCUCCAUCCUGCAACAUUUUGUUGCAGAUUCCACUUGCACAGCAUAAUUACAAAGCAACUUGUUUUCUACUUCGUUACCCUUCACAAAAAGCCUGUGAGGUAGAUCACUCUUACUCUUGUUUCAUAAAUGUGGAACUGAAGAUAGUUUCUAAAGCCAUGUCGAGAUAGGUAACGUAGCAAGAGGCCCUUAAGCAUGCAGCCCUCCAGGUUUUUCUGAGCACAGUAGAUGUGAGAUAAACAUCUGAUCAGUCACACAUGAUACUGCCAUGGGUCUUGUCCCCGUUUCUGGUUAAUGUGGCUGGCGUCUGUGAUGCAUAUUGAGCAGGGGGAGCACCAGAACGGAGAAGUGGAACAAGGCCAGCUUGGAAUGCUGCAUCACAGUAACCAUAGGGGCAAAUAUUCCACUGAGAAUUGAUGGCAUCAGCUCGGUAUCGGAGAAGUUACCCAGGCAAGUGUCUACCUAAUCCAUGCAAAAAAGCUGUGACCCACCCACCACUAUCAUUCUGAAGGUUUGAAAUGACAAACUUGUGGGUUUCUGUUCCCUCUGCUGGGAUGGUUCUUUGUUAUCCUGUAUUGAAUGUGGAGGCUGUGAUUAUCUGAGUGAAGAAACUGCAAGCAGCAGGGCCCUACACACGGUGCUUUUAAGAUUGCAUUGGUGUUGGUGAAUAGCAGUAGCAGCACACCUGGUCUCUGGCACUCCUUUGACCAAAACCUUCCCUGCAGUCGGCAGCCAACUCCACUGUGGACUCCAUGGCAAAGGUACAAGCUCCGCUGGCACAAAUCCCUUUUGUCUGAAGCACAAAUCCCAAGGUGGAUACAAGACCCCGGGUUCCUUGUUUUGUGUGUUGUGGGAAACCGCUAAGGAGGGAUUAACCUGUUAAUUCACAUGCAGUGAACAUUUCUUACUGGAAAGAUGUCUGUCACUGGGAUGGGCAAUUCUGAGCAGGAAAAAAGUCGGAGGGGAAAGGGUUAAGUAGCCUCACCCCUUCCCAUCAGGCCAUUUUGAAUUUCAGAGGAGGAGAUAGCUCUGUGUAAUGUGCUGCUUAGCUGUCCUUCCUGAAGGAACCCAGAGUGGUAAACCACAAGGCAGCUAAAUACAAAUUAAAUUAAAUAAUUUUAAAUGAUAAACAUACAUGAUUGGUUCCUAGUUACUCCUGGGGGCAGGCAGUAAAGGGGCAUAUUUUGGACAAGGACAAAUGCUUUGCUCCUGGCCACUGAGCCAAAUGUGUUCCUUUCUGCACAGUUCUUUCCUGGGCUCCAUUUCUUGGUCACGCUGCAGUGUGGCAAUGUUGGAAGCAGUCUUUUUUAAUAUAUAGGAAUAUAAAGUGAAUGUUCACAUGUGGCAGGUGAUGUGCCAUAACAAACUGGACAAAAGGCUUAAAAAUCAACAAGGGUGCAUUACAUGAUCAAUAUUUUCAAGUUAGCUAAAAGCAUUUCAGUGGGAUAAGUGCCCUUCCUCGAGGUGAGGGCUUAGCAUGGCACUAGAGUCCCCACUAAAUUUGAAGCAAAUUUUGGAAGCGCCUGCCCAAGUUGCAGGAAUUUCAAGGGAAACUGCAAAGAUAUUUAAGUUCAGCAAAACUUCCAUGUGAACUUUUCCGCAUCUUGUCACUGUGAGGGGAUGGAGCCAUACAAAUGUGUGAACUUGGAAAAGUUAGAUAAUCUAUGGAUAUCUUUAAUGGGUCACAUAUAACAGCCCUUUUUGUCAGCUUUGACCAUUCUAGUGGGCACUUGCAAAAACAUUCUCAGGAUAAUGAUUUGUUUUAAAGAGAUGUAUUAUUUAUAGACUGCAUUUUGUCCCAAAGGAUCCCAGUGUGGUGGACACACAAGAUGAAAGAGUUAAUUUAAAUCAUCACAUUAAGCCAAUAAAACAGUUCAGCAACAAGCAUCAAAAUACCCAUGUCUGUUCACAGACUUCCUUCAAAUGCCGUGUGAAAAUAAGCAUUUUCAGCUGUCAAUGAGGGCGACAGCCUCAUCUGCAGAGAGAGAGAGUUCCACAAAUGGGGUUCUGCCACACAGAAAGCCACAUCCCAUGACACAGUAGAGUGACGAAGGCCACCGGUGCAAUCACCAAUG